rnacentral:rRNA from 1 species
GACGAACGCUGGCGGCGCGCCUAACACAUGCAAGUCGAACGAGCGAGAGAGAGCUUGCUUUCUCGAGCGAGUGGCGAACGGGUGAGUAACGCGUGAGGAACCUGCCUCAAAGAGGGGGACAACAGUUGGAAACGACUGCUAAUACCGCAUAAGCCCACGGCUCGGCAUCGAGCAGAGGGAAAAGGAGCAAUCCGCUUUGAGAUGGCCUCGCGUCCGAUUAGCUAGUUGGUGAGGUAACGGCCCACCAAGGCGACGAUCGGUAGCCGGACUGAGAGGUUGAACGGCCACAUUGGGACUGAGACACGGCCCAGACUCCUACGGGAGGCAGCAGUGGGGAAUAUUGCACAAUGGGGGAAACCCUGAUGCAGCGACGCCGCGUGGAGGAAGAAGGUCUUCGGAUUGUAAACUCCUGUUGUUGGGGAAGAUAAUGACGGUACCCAACAAGGAAGUGACGGCUAACUACGUGCCAGCAGCCGCGGUAAAACGUAGGUCACAAGCGUUGUCCGGAAUUACUGGGUGUAAAGGGAGCGCAGGCGGGAAGACAAGUUGGAAGUGAAAUCUAUGGGCUCAACCCAUAAACUGCUUUCAAAACUGUUUUUCUUGAGUAGUGCAGAGGUAGGCGGAAUUCCCGGUGUAGCGGUGGAAUGCGUAGAUAUCGGGAGGAACACCAGUGGCGAAGGCGGCCUACUGGGCACCAACUGACGCUGAGGCUCGAAAGUGUGGGUAGCAAACAGGAUUAGAUACCCUGGUAGUCCACACCGUAAACGAUGAUUACUAGGUGUUGGAGGAUUGACCCCUUCAGUGCCGCAGUUAACACAAUAAGUAAUCCACCUGGGGAGUACGACCGCAAGGUUGAAACUCAAAGGAAUUGACGGGGGCCCGCACAAGCAGUGGAGUAUAUGGUUUAAUUCGACGCAACGCGAAGAACCUUACCAAGUCUUGACAUCCCUUGACGAUGCUGGAAACAGUAUUUCUCUUCGGAGCAAGGAGACAGGUGGUGCAUGGUUGUCGUCAGCUCGUGUCGUGAGAUGUUGGGUUAAGUCCCGCAACGAGCGCAACCCUUAUGGUCAGUUACUACGCAAGAGGACUCUGGCCAGACUGCCGUUGACAAAACGGAGGAAGGUGGGGAUGACGUCAAAUCAUCAUGCCCUUUAUGACUUGGGCUACACACGUACUACAAUGGCGUUAAACAAAGAGAAGCAAGACCGCGAGGUGGAGCAAAACUCAGAAACAACGUCCCAGUUCGGACUGCAGGCUGCAACUCGCCUGCACGAAGUCGGAAUUGCUAGUAAUCGUGGAUCAGCAUGCCACGGUGAAUACGUUCCCGGGCCUU